UACGUAGGGUGCAAGCGUUGUCCGGAAUCAUUGGGCGUAAAGAGCGUGUAGGCGGUCCGGUAAGUCCGCUGUGAAAGUCGGGGGCUCAACCCUCGAAUGCCGGUGGAUACUGUCGGGCUAGAGUGCGGAAGAGGCGAGUGGAAUUCCUGGUGUAGCGGUGAAAUGCGCAGAUAUCAGGAGGAACACCAAUAGCGAAGGCAGCUCGCUGGGACGUUACUGACACUGAGGCGCGAAAGCGUGGGGAGCGAAUGGG
rnacentral:rRNA from 1 species